rnacentral:rRNA from 1 species
UACGAAGGGGGCUAGCGGUGUUCGGAAUUACUGGGCGUAAAGCGCACGCAGGCGGAUUGGUAAGUUAGAGGUGAAAUCCCGGGGCUUAACCUCGGAAUUGCCUUUGAUACUGCCAGUCUUGAGUCCGGGAGAGGUGAGUGGAAUUCCUAGUGUAGAGGUGAAAUUCGUAGAUAUUAGGAAGAACACCAGUGGCGAAGGCGGCUCACUGGCCCGGAACUGACGCUCAGGUGCGAAAGCGUGGGGGGCAAACAGG